rnacentral:rRNA from 1 species
GUGCCAGCCGCCGCGGUAAUACGUAGGAUCCGAGCGUUGUCCGGAUUUACUGGGUGUAAAGGGUGCGCAGGCGGACUGGUAAGUCAGAGGUGAAAUCUCGUCGCUUAACGACGAAACUGCCUUUGAUACUAUCAGUCUUGAAUCCGGUAGAGAUCUGUGGAAUUCCGAGUGUAGCAGUGAAAUGUGUAGAUAUUCGGAAGAACACCAGUGGCGAAGGCAGCAGAUUGGGCCGGUAUUGACGCUCAGGCACGAAAGCAUGGGGAUCAAACAGGAUUAGAUACCCCUGUAGUCC